CACGCCCUUCCCGCACAAUCACUCGCUGUCCCCUCCACGCUCAGCACCGGUUACGGGGGCUUGCGGGGCCUGCGCUCCAUCUGCUGUAGGCCCGGCGCAGGUUGCCUCGUCUGCACUUAGCGUCUUGGGUUUAAGGGGAGAAGGGCGGGACAGGACAGGGUGUGACUUCCGCCUUGGCACCUGGGAUUUGUAAUUUAUUUCUGGAUCUUUCUCCUUGGGGAUUGGGGGGUUAAAAGAUCGUGGGAAGGGGCUCAGGCAACUGAAAAUAAGAAAGAAAGACCCUCAUACCUUUGGGGCUCAUUUCCCAAAAGAAGCUCAGAAUGUCUGUUUUCGUUAGUACUAAUUAGACGAAAACUACUGUACUGAAAAUGAUAAAGCUUCAGUGAGCAGACAAGAUUACGAAAAUGAAGAAAGGUAAACAGUAGCUACACAGCUGAUUAGCAGCCCAGAUGUAACUAGUCCAGCAGUCCUAAAUGUGCCGCACACCCCGCUGCACCUCCCUCCCUCCCUCCCCGAGCCCAGGGCCGCUUCCUCCGGAGAACGUUCAAGCUCAGCACUGGAUCUGUAACCCUGGUGUUGCUUGCCUCCUUUGCUGUGGACUUAAUGUUGACGUUAAAGAUUUCCCAAAGCUAAUAAUUGAAUGCGAAUUAAUAAGUUGCUCAGAAAAUGGCUACUCAUCAGGUGAAGUUGCUUCAAAAACUACAGAAAAUGUUGAGUAAACUUUGAUCCCCUGGUGCCAUAUGGCGAUAUGACUUCCCAAAUCAAAGCUUCAGAUGUUACUCAUAUCAAUAAAGAACACUCCCACUUCAUACAAACAAAUCAAGCUUGGGCAACCUAAUAUCUGAUGGCCACAUUUGGAGGUAUCUGUAUGGAGUUAAACAUGCUUGUACUUGGGAUACUGUCCAGAUACAUCCCUUAUGUGUGAAUUCUCCAACAUUAAAAGACAAGGACAAAAAAAGGAGUCAAGUGUAUGGUCCAUUUACCCCAUGUUCACCCCCAAAAAGUAAACUUUGUAGACAAACUAAUAAUGCUGUCUUCAAAAUAUUUGUUACUCUUUGUUCUUUAUGUAUU